rnacentral:rRNA from 1 species
UGGCCGUAAACGAUGUGGACUUGGUGUUGGAAUGGCUCCGAGCUGCUCCAGUGCCGAAGGGAAGCUGUUAAGUCCACCGCCUGGGAAGUACGGUCGCAAGACUGAAACUUAAAGGAAUUGGCGGGGGAGCAUCACAACGCGUGGAGCCUGCGGUUUAAUUGGAUUCAACGCCGGAAAUCUUACCGGGACCGACAGCAACAUGAAGGCCAAGCUGAAGACUUUGCCGGAUUAGCUGAGAGGAGGUGCAUGGCGUAGUCGUGU